GGGGACCGGCUUCUAAAAAACUUUAUGCAUGAGGCGCAUGGCUGUGGAGAGGACUACAGCCAUGGUGGUGGUUGGGACUCCAACCUUGAGAGAUUGGUCUUUUUCGGAGAACAGCCGCAUGAAGUGAAGGAAGAAAAGAAGUGAUCUGGAGAAGGGCACCAUGUGAAGAAAAGAGAAAGCUGGCUGCAAGAAGGAAGAUAUCUGGUGGGGGGAAAGGAGAAAGAAAAAGAUCUGAGGAUCCACUCACCCUGACUUCUCUGGGUUCAGUAACCUGAGGAAGAAAAAACAUGGAGGACAAAUGCUUGAUUGCAAAAGAUGUUCCAGGAUUAAUUGGGAAUACCCCAUUGGUGUAUCUGAACAAAGUUGUGGGUGGUUGUUUAGCCCGUAUUGCAGUGAAGCUAAAGGCAAUGGAGAACUGCUGUAGUGUUAAAGAUACGUAUAUACUUUAAUCUCCUUUCAUUCACCUGAUUAUGAAAAUGCUUUUAAUUUGAGAUAGGGGAUUAGGCGACUCAACUUUGUAAGAUCCAGGGCCAGCUUACUUGCAUCAUUUCAUGGAUCCACUCUCAGGGAGCCUCGAGCUCUCCUCCACCUCGUCCACCCCCCCUACUUCAAAUGCUUAGUUGUCUCUAUUUACUUUGCUAGCUUUUUGUUUAUCUGGAUUAUAUUUAUUAUCUUUUUAUAUUUUUUGCAUCCAGAAUUAUGAUUUUAUAUGAUGCAUUAUCUUUUGUCUUUCUUAUUUUAUGUUUCCAUUUGUGCAUACUUUGCCAUUUUUGUGACAAAAACAGGGAGAUUACUAAAUAAAAUGUGGGGGAGAUAUAAAAGGAACUUAAUAAAUAAAAGGGGGAGAUUAAUAAAUAAAAUUUGGGGGUGAGUUUAAGUAGUUAGGAGGAGUUUUUAUUUAUUUAUGUUUAAAGAAAAAAAAAACCUUGAAUGCAUAUUUUGUGAUUUUGGGGCCGGGGAAGUUAUUUGAAAUAUCGGAGGAAACUAAACUUGAAAUAUUAGGAGAAAUCAAAUUACUUGUUAAGUACAUGCUUUCAAAGUUUGAGAGAGAUACCUAAUACGAAUGUUUCCUACAAAAUAUUACUUAACCUAUCGAUUACAUGUGAUAAAAGCUCGAGAGGGCACUUGUCAAGGAUGUUUCUUGCAAAAUAUUUCUUUUUGAUUUGUUUAACUCUUUUGCAAAAUGUUUCCUUGUGUAGAAACUGUUGGUAAAAGUUAUUGGUCCUUCGCUUGAGAUCAUCAACUCUUUGCAUAGCUUUUCUUAUGCUUCAUUGAGUUGCAUGUAAUCAUGUGUGUCUAUUUGGACUUUGUACAUUGGUUUCCUUACAAUAUUGUGUUUCUUUUUCAAUCUUUCACAAUGCGUUAAUCAAAAUAUCCAACUAUCGUGUUUUACUUUUUCAAUUAUGUUAUAUCACGCACAUUACUUUACCUAUGGUAUAGUGUUUUUUGUUUUUGUUUUGUUUUUUCAUGUGUGUAGGUUAUAGGAGUAGGAGACACGUACUACAAGAUGAUUAAUGCUUUUCAUCUAUUCUUUUUAAAUAAGGGUUCUUGAGUGUUAUGUAAACUCCAAUAUGAGAGUUUUAAGGGGGUUUAUAUAAUGAAGUUUUGUCAUAAAAUUGCGAAAGGGGGAGAUUACUAGGACAUUGAGUCUUUUUUGUGU